rnacentral:misc_RNA from 1 species
GAAAUGCAGGUGCAGCUGGACAUUCUCCUGAGCUAAAAGCAUAUUCAUUUAGUCCCGUCAAACGGAUUAUUACUUUUGCUGCAGCUAACAUAAAGGGAGUUUGACCAUUUUGGCUGACUGAUGCAGGAUUUUCACAAGAGUCUUCAAAAGCUUUUGUUAAACUCGAUCUCAAAUCAAGUAAGACUACCCGCUGAACUUAA